rnacentral:rRNA from 1 species
UAGUCUACGCCGUAAACGAUGGAUACUAGCUGUUCGGAACUUGUUUCUGAGUGGCUAAGCGAAAGUGAUAAGUAUCCCACCUGGGGAGUACGUUCGCAAGAAUGAAACUCAAAGGAAUUGACGGGGGCCCGCACAAGCGGUGGAGCAUGUGGUUUAAUUCGAUGAUACGCGAGGAACCUUACCAGGGCUUAAAUGUAGAUUGCAUUAGGUGGAGACACUUAUUUCUUCGGACUAUCUACAAGGUGCUGCAUGGUUGUCGUCAGCUCGUGCCGUGAGGUGUCAGGUUAAGUCCUAUAACGAGCGCAACCCCUGUUGUUAGUUGCCAGCGAGUCAAGUCGGGAACUCUAACAAGACUGCCAGUGCAAACGGAGAGGAAGGUGGGGAUGACGUCAAAUCAUCACGGGCCCUUACGUCCUGGGGCUACACACGUGCUACAAUGGGCAGGGGACAGUUAGUUGCAAAACCGCGAGGGUGGGAGCUAAUCUACAAACCCUGUCUCAGUUCGGGAUCGGGA